ensembl:lncRNA
GCUGCACUAGGCAUGGUGCAGGGCAGCAUCCCACUGACCCCAGGUGCAGCAGCACUAACGCCAGCCUCGACGAGGAAGAGACGAACACGGAGCACACCACGACGCACAGCACCCUGCGCUCACAGGGGGGCUGCACCCCAAGGGACAGAGCCCACAGAGCCACCCUGACCUUUCAGGGGUGUUCUGCAGAGCAUCCCCCACAGAGCCGAGCCCAAUCCGACGGCACCUGCAGCCCCCAGCACUAUGCAACACACCGCAGCCCCGAUGCUGGGGAGGGGACGGGAGGGGUCUCAAUGCAACCAGGGGCCGCCCCACAUGCAGACGGCCCCGCCAUGGCCCUGCAGCAGCCAGCCGGCCCCAUGGGGAGCCUAGCUCCAUCGCCGUGCCAAACCCCCCCCCCGUUCCUCCUGCUCCCCCCAAAACGCUCCCGUCGCGAGCCCGGAAGUAGGAAACAGCCCUCCCCAGCGCUGCCCUGUUUACCAUGAGCUGGUUCCAAGCACUCGGGAGAAUAGCAGGAGCAUUUCAAGGCCCUGUUUCCACUCGGCUGACACACACUAUUUAUAGAAGCCCACAAUUCUCCCAGAGCUUUCCUCGGGAUCUCAGCAGAAAUAGCCCGCCCCGGGUCCCUGCAGCCUGCUCUAAGGAGGGCAGGGCAGCGCGGCCCCCCCAGGCUCCCUAUAACCUUCCAUGGGCUUCCAUCGCUUCUCCUCCUCCGGCCGCCCGCUCCCGGCGUGUCCUUGGCUCCCCCGUCCCCAACGCCGUGCCAACCCACAGCCUCUCCCCCCAGCACAGCUUUAGGACGAGGAUCCGGGAGAAAGAAGGUGGGAGGGGGGGGUGACAGGGGGCAGAGCCAGUGGGGGGGGGGGUGACAGCAUGCCACCUCCCGCCCAACUGCAUCGGAGCGCGGCGGCGGAGCCACGGGGGGACUCGCACCGGGGAUGGAGUUGGCCCUAUUCAGCACUGACAUUCCCGGAGCCCGGCAGAUCCAAUCUCAUUAAGGCGGAUAACGCCGCCGCUGUUUGUUGUGACACUGUUUGUGUGAGUGACGAGCGAAGGGUUAACUCCAGGGAAUUGGGAAUACUGCCUGGCUGCUAAUAACACGGUCGGGGUUUGCCGCCUGCAACGACCCCAAAUCCGGGCAGGGGGAGGGGGUCAGCUGCUGGGGUCGAGCCCCGCAGCACGGAAUUACCACACCCCCGAACCCAUCAGCUCCAUCCCCGCACCCCGACGGGAUGGGGGUCACAGGGAUGGGGGACGGGGAGGGGACAGAGACCUGCACGCAUCGCUCCCACCUCCUGGAAACCACGCGGAGAGGAGCAGCCCUGCGCUCCAGCCCGGUCAGCAGAGGAAUCUGCACACGCAGACAGGAUCGCUGCAAUCGCUGGUGGCUGAGAGGAUCCCUCCGUCCUCGCCUCGCCGGGUUUUGCACCGUGUGGAUAUUGCGAGGCCGCCUAUGGCUGCACCUGCCCCUAUAUACAUUGCUAUACCUGCCCCUAUAUAUUGCUAUACCUGCCCCUAUACAUUGCUAUACCUGCCCCUAUACAUUGCUAUACCUGCCCCAUAUACAAUGCUAUACCUGCCCCACACAUAUCCCUGUACCUGCCCCUAUAUAUACUGCUGUGCCUGCCCCAUGUGCUGCUGCACCUGCCCUGCACGUGCAUUGGGACGGAGGGUCGGGUCGGCUGCUGUGCCCAGAAGGUCGCGUGGAAAACAUUCCUUUGCAAGCAAGGAUGGGUUAGAAUGUAAAAGAUUUAUUAAUUUAAUCCGAAGCAUUAAAAGGUCAUGUAUUAAUCAAAGAGAUGCUUAAAACUGUCAAAGUCCUUUGUCAGGUUUGAAGUGCAUCUCUAUAGUUAUCAUAAAAUAUAUAUAGAUAUCAGUCUGGCACGGAGCCCUCGCUGGGCUGGGAGUGGAG